CCUACGGGGGGCUGCAGUGGGGAAUAUUGGACAAUGGGGGGAACCCUGAUCCAGCCAUGCCGCGUGUGUGAAGAAGGCCCACGGGUUGUAAAGCACUUUCAGUGAGGAAGAACGCCUGGUGGUUAAUACCCAUCAGGAAAGACAUCACUCACAGAAGAAGCACCGGCUAACUCCGUGCCAGCAGCCGCGGUAAUACGGAGGGUGCGAGCGUUAAUCGGAAUUACUGGGCGUAAAGCGCGCGUAGGUGGCUUGAUAAGCCGGUUGUGAAAGCCCCGGGCUCAACCUGGGAACGGCAUCCGGAACUGUCAAGCUAGAGUGCAGGAGAGGAAGGUAGAAUUCCCGGUGUAGCGGUGAAAUGCGUAGAGAUCGGGAGGAAUACCAGUGGCGAAGGCGGCCUUCUGGACUGACACUGACACUGAGGUGCGAAAGCGUGGGUAGCAAACAGGAUUAGAUACCCGAGUAGUC
rnacentral:rRNA from 1 species